rnacentral:misc_RNA from 1 species
CGAGCGUCAUUUAAACCUUCAAGCUAUGCUUGGUGUUGGGUGUUUGUUCCGCCUCAGCGCGUGGACUCACCUCAAAUUCAUUGGCAGCCGGUAUGUUGGCUUCGUGCGCAGCACAUUGCAAGCGAUUUCAGCAGACCCCCUUCCAUAACGCCUUUUUUUACUUUGACCUCGGAUCAGGUAGGGAUACCCGCUGAACUUAA